rnacentral:lncRNA from 1 species
CGGACACGCGGGGCCUCGUGGCCAAACCCCUCGAGCUGCAGGUCCGAGCACACCGCGCUCCCCAGCCCUGGGCUCGCAGUCCGGGGCCGUGGCUCCUCGCGCUGCCGUGCUGCUCGGGGCCAGCUCGGCACGGAAGGCUCCCAGAAAAAAAACCCCUUGGUCAAAGGGUAAAACUGCUUGGAGAAUGAGAGCCGCGGGGUCAGGCGGCAGCAGGGCCCCGGGGAUAAAGCCCUGAUUAGUAUUCCCGGAGCUAAGAAAUGCACCUCCGUUUAGCAGCUUGAGUAAAUACAGUGCCUUAAUAUUGUGUGUUAAUAGACUCGCUUUUUCAGCUACUGACGACUGUAGUUUCAGAAAAUUUAUUGUUGCUAUAAAGCGGCUCUCUCUCUCUCUCCCUUCUCUCUCUCUUUUGCUAAUUGACAAAGGGGCCCAGUAAUUAAAGGACAAUAAAAGUUUUCCAGUAAUUAGUUUCUGUUGUUUGGUUACAGGCCAUCAAUUGUUCUUUAAUAAUACCAAUCGUUAGCAUGCAGUAGUCAGUGGGCUCUCAAAGGCUUCUGGGGCACCACCACUUACCACCACUACACAUUCCAUUCCCAUGAGGACAUCCUGCCUCCAGCUCCGCGUUAACCCUCUCCUAGGACGCAGUCCUCCUGCCCGGCUGCGUGUUUUGGGGUAAACACCUCUCAUCACUCGUGGCUAGAAGGCAGCAAUUAGGGCUCAGCCCAUGGGACCUUGGAUCAGGAGAUGCCUUGGGAGAGCUGCCCACGUGUCCCAGAGUGGUCAGACGCCAUCGGGAUUGGGCAGGGGGAAGAGGUAAGGACUUGCAGACCUCAAAGGAUGCGCAGCUCCCAAGUUACCGGAGAAGGCUGCAUUUCAUCACUGCUCUCCCACAGGAUGAAGACGGCACACACAGCAGGACGUGGCUUGCCAAGGGCUUGGGCCACUGGGUCCUGCAGACACCUUAUUUCUUCUUCUCUAGUGAAGACAAACCUCUCAGCAAAGCCCAUCUCAUGUGCUGAUGCUAAAACAUUCAUCCAUGCAGUGCUUUGCGAAGAGUCUGCCUGCGGUGAGCUGAGGCCAAGCUGGCAGAGAGAGACAGUGAAACCUUGCCCAAAAAAGCUCAUUUCAUACUCAGUCAUAACUUCUGUCCUGCGUUUCAGGGUCGCCUCAGUCCCAGCCUCAGCAGACACCUCCUGUAAACCAUUGCAUGAUCUUCAAAGAGGCCUACAAGGGUCCCAAGGAACACGGGUAUUUGACCCAUGUCUCCAGUUUCUUCUACCUUCCUCCUGGGAAGGAGGUCUUCAGAAAUACUUCUUUUUUUUUUUUCCCUUUUUUUCAUUUUUUCCAGGCAUUUUAGUAGCAAUAUCUUCUUCUUUGACAGUGACAGGAGAGUCAGGUCUCGCAGAACACCAACACCAGGGGCUAACAGAGACUCACUGUCCCAGUUCUCCCCAUCUGCCUUGAUGAACCUUGUAACGAGCUUUCCAAGUGGCUGGGCUUGGCCCAGCUGCUGGAGUCAUAGAGAAAAGCUGGGUGCAUCUUUGGACUGUGUGCAUGGUAUAUAGCCAGAAGAGGAGGUUUUUUGGCAAAACCUGAGACAAAUCAGACAAUCCCUUUCUGAGACAUAGGUCUUAGGGAAAAUAAGUGUAAUUCAGAGUGUUUGAAGCAUCUCCUAAUGCUUUUUCAUGUCAUGUCUCAAAUAUGGCUUGGCCUAGAAACUUCAGAUUUGUUUAAUUCAAGAGCCCUUGACGUAAUCUAGCACAGAUGAGGGCUUCUGAGAGGCUGCAGUGCUUAUUUGGAGCUAUUCUCCUCCGAAUUACGAAUAUAUUAGUGUUCUAUCAGCAGCUGUGACAGUGAAAAGUUAAGACAGGCUUUCUAGGCUUUGCCAAAGCAUCCUCAGAGCCCUUUUCUCCUCCCUCAGAUUGGUUUCACCCAUCAGGACAAGGACUGCUUGGAUGCCCUACAAACCAAAGCCAGCCCAGGACGCCCACCAGCAGGAUCUGUGCUCUCCUGCCAUGCCCGUGCCACCCUGCAGCCGGUGUCCAAAGGGCAUGCUCUGCUUCCCAGCCUCACCCAAGUCAAACUUCAGCCAAGACCUAAAUAAAAUUUAAAAGUGUCAGACA